GUAACAAGGUUUCCGUAGGUGAACCUGCGGAAGGAUCAUUGUCGAAACCUGCCCAGCAGAGCGACCCGUGAACGUGUUCAACCUCAUGGGUGCUGGGGCGUUGCUCGGUGCCUCGUGUGCUAGCUCGCCCCUCUCCCAGGCAGGGGAGCGCCCACUUGUGGGUUGUUCCCCGGCUAACCAACGAACCCCGGCGCGUAAAUGCGUCAAGGAAUAUAAACUUUAUGUGUGUGCUCUCCUAUCGCCCGGUUAGCCGGGCGUUGGAGUGGUGCCAUGUCUUAACAAUAAACGACUCUCGGCAACGGAUAUCUCGGCUCUCGCAUCGAUGAAGAACGUAGCGAAAUGCGAUACUUGGUGUGAAUUGCAGAAUCCCGUGAACCAUCGAGUUUUUGAACGCAAGUUGCGCCCGAAGCCUCCGGCUGAGGGCACGUCUGCCUGGGCGUCACGCAUCGCGUCUCCCCCAUAUCCCACCUUGGUGGAGGGGAAGGAGGAUGGUUUCCCGCGACUCACCGGUCGCGGCUGGCCUAAAAUUGGAGCCCUCGGCAUCGGGAUGCCGCGGCGAUAGGUGGUGAACAAGGCCUCGGCCAAGCAAGCAACCCGUCGCGCAUGCCGUGCCAAUGUGGGCUCGAAGGACCCUUUGUCGUUGUCUUAAGGGCAACCAAACCGUUGCGACCCCAGGUCAGGCGGGGCUACCCGCUGA
rnacentral:rRNA from 1 species